rnacentral:rRNA from 1 species
GUAAUCGCGGAUCAGCAUGCCGCGGUGAAUACGUUCCCGGGCCUUGUACACACCGCCCGUCACACCAUGAGAGCCGGUAAUACCCGAAGUCCGCAGCCUAACCGCAAGGGGGCGCGGCCGAAGGUAGGACUGGUAAUUAGGGUGAAGUCGUAACAAGGUAUC